rnacentral:rRNA from 1 species
GUACACUCCUACGGGAGGCAGCAGUGGGGAAUAUUGGACAAUGGGCGCAAGCCUGAUCCAGCCAUGCCGCGUGAGUGAUGAAGGCCCUAGGGUUGUAAAGCUCUUUCACCGGUGAAGAUAAUGACGGUAACCGGAGAAGAAGCCCCGGCUAACUUCGUGCCAGCAGCCGCGGUAAUACGAAGGGGGCUAGCGUUGUUCGGAUUUACUGGGCGUAAAGCGCACGUAGGCGGACUAUUAAGUCAGGGGUGAAAUCCCGGGGCUCAACCCCGGAACUGCCUUUGAUACUGGUAGUCUUGAGUUCGAGAGAGGUGAGUGGAAUUCCGAGUGUAGAGGUGAAAUUCGUAGAUAUUCGGAGGAACACCAGUGGCGAAGGCGGCUCACUGGCUCGAUACUGACGCUGAGGUGCGAAAGCGUGGGGAGCAAACAGGAUUAGAAACCCUAGUAGUCCCAUGAU